rnacentral:rRNA from 1 species
CCUACGGGAGGCAGCAGUGGGGAAUAUUGGACAAUGGGGGGAACCCUGAUCCAGCGACGCCGCGUGAGUGAAGAAGUAUUUCGGUAUGUAAAGCUCUAUCAGCAGGGAAGAAAAUGACGGUACCUGACUAAGAAGCCCCGGCUAACUACGUGCCAGCAGCCGCGGUAAUACGUAGGGGGCAAGCGUUAUCCGGAUUUACUGGGUGUAAAGGGAGCGUAGACGGUGCAGCAAGUCUGGAGUGAAAUGCCGGGGCUUAACCCCGGAACUGCUUUGGAAACUGUGCAGCUAGAGUGCAGGAGAGGUAAGUGGAAUUCCUAGUGUAGCGGUGAAAUGCGUAGAUAUUAGGAGGAACACCAGUGGCGAAGGCGGCUUACUGGACUGUAACUGACGUUGAGGCUCGAAAGCGUGGGGAGCAAACAGGAUUAGAUACCCGUGUAGUC